rnacentral:lncRNA from 1 species
GGAGAAGCGGCCAGGGCAAGCGGAAGGAAGCCGCGCAGCGAGCCUCCCUUGAGUGUCGCCAGGCGGCUGGGCGCCCGUGGGCGGCCCUGGGGACCAGGCCCUGGGGACCAGGCCGUGCGCAGCGCAGCCCCGCCGCGGGCCCUGCCUCCCCUUGCGGAGGCCGCCCUGAGCUCCGCUCCCUUGGCCGCUUAUUCUCGCCUCUGUCUUUCCCAAGCCGGGCAGGACAUCAGACGUGCCCAGGGAGUGCUCUCCAAGACGCUCUGGGGCCGAGCCUGAGGGUCAGGCGGAGGCGGAGAAUUGUUAACUGGCCCGCAGCAGCAGCAGCAGCAGGGGACGAGGUUUUGGUUCCGAUUUGCAACGUCUUCCAGAUGGGAGCUUUGUGUGUGAGUUUUGAGGAGUUUGGAAAGUUUGAUUUAAACACUUGCACGAUUGUCCUGUGGGAACAAACCACUUCGAGAAAGUUCUGACUAAUGAGAACUGGAGGUUCUUCAUGCCUACCCUAAAAUCCUGCAGAAUCCUCAGGCAUCCCUGAAAAGAGACGUCGUGUUCUCAAGCGUUGGUUCGGACUCUGGUCACGAGUGAUGCUCAGAACACGGCUGCUGUGUAGACAUGCUCAGUAAGUACUGGUCCAGGAAUAACUGUGAUGUGGCGCAUAUGAACUGCGGCAGCAAGUCGGAGGGGUGCCCACCCCAGCCUUGAAGGAGUGCUCCCUGGAGGAGGCAAUCCUGUGUUGAGAUUUGAAGGAUGAACAGGAGGCAGCAAGGUGGACCAGGAGCCCCCAGAAUCAUCCACGGAACGGGCAGAAUAACAGAAGAGCAGUUUUCUCUCUUGGAGACAUAUGGAAAACAGUUUGUUUGCUUGGAGGAAAAUCAUAGCUUGUUGUUUUUGUCCCCCCCCAGAGGAAAGUUAAAACUCUC